GGGGGCAUGUGCACGCUCUGUUUGCACAUCCACUCACACCUGUGCACUCUCUGUAGUUCUGUGGCCCCGGGGGACCCCGUCCCUCCGCCGUGGUUCUAUGUUUUUAUACACACCCUGUAGUAAAGUCUUAUGGAACGUGUGCCGCGUUUAACGCAAUGAAAUACAACUUUCAGCAACGGAUCUCUUGGCUCUCGCAUCGAUGAAGAACGCAGCGAAAUGCGAUAAGUAAUGUGAAUUGCAGAAUUCAGUGAAUCAUCGAAUCUUUGAACGCACCUUGCGCCCCUUGGCUAUUCCGAAGGGCAUGCCUGUUUGAGUAUCAUGAACACCUUCAACCCUCGUGGUUUUCCACGAUCGGCUUGGACUUUGGAGGUUUUGCUGGCUCCCCUGUGGUCGGCUCCUCUCAAACGAAUCAGCUUACCAGCGUUUGGUGGCGUCUCAGGUGUGAUAACUAUCUACGCUUGCGGCCGUCCGCCACGCGACCUUCGGCGAUGAGGG
rnacentral:rRNA from 1 species